UCCAUGAUAUUAUUUUGUUUUCCUUUGUUUUGCAUGGGUUUUUGGUUUUUUUUUUGGCUCGAGGAAAGCAAAGCUCUUUUAGUUUCACCGGGAACACCAGAACAUUAGCAGAAAUACUCAUGCCUUCUAUGCGAAUUUAGUAGUUUAAAACUUUUGAAGGUUAUUUAUGUGGAUGGCCCUAAGCAAAAGCCCUGAAUGGCUCUCAGGGAGCACGUGAUGUCAUUAAACUAAGUUUUAUGGUUUGGGGGAGCUGACAAACCCACAAUAUAUUUACAUCAUAUAUAAUCUUAACUGUCCACCAUCGCAGCUGCUAGAGCUGUUUAAUGCUGGGACAGUGGGACAAGGCGCUUUAGUGCGGAGCGCGGCGGCCGGAGCAGCACCUCCCGCAAGAAGCAGCAGCCACCGCAAACACAACUCUGAGCCAAGAGCACAAAGAGCCCCGACCAUUUCGCGGUGACUGAUUUAUGGCGUUUUACAACCCCAUAAAAAGCUGUAACAACCAGCCAAAAGCCUUCGACACCGCUGGCACAUUUAGUCUAAUAAAUAAAACAUAAACAGUUAA